rnacentral:tRNA from 1 species
AACAUUUUAACUAUAUAAGUAAGUAUUUUGAAAAUAUUUAAAAGAGAAAUCUAAAUGUUU